rnacentral:tRNA from 1 species
GGUCUGCUGGCCUAAUGCUCAAGGCGUCUGACUUCGAACCGACCAGCAAAGAUCAGAAGUAUCAGAAGAUUCCAGGUUUGACCCCUAGGUAGAUCA